rnacentral:rRNA from 1 species
AUUGAACGCUGGCGGAAUGCUUUACACAUGCAAGUCGAGCGGCAGCGCGGGGGCAACCCUGGCGGCGAGCGGCGAACGGGUGAGUAACAUAUCGGAACGUACCCAGUCGUGGGGGAUAACUAUCCGAAAGGAUAGCUAAUACCGCAUACGUCCUGAGGGAGAAAGCGGGGGAUCGCAAGACCUCGCGCGAUUGGAGCGGCCGAUAUCGGAUUAGCUAGUUGGUGGGGUAAAGGCUCACCAAGGCGACGAUCCGUAGCGGGUCUGAGAGGACGACCCGCCACACUGGAACUGAGACACGGUCCAGACUCCUACGGGAGGCAGCAGUGGGGAAUUUUGGACAAUGGGGGCGAACCCUCGAUCCAGCCAUUCCGCGUGAGUGAAGAAGG